rnacentral:rRNA from 1 species
UACGUAGGGUGCGAGCGUUGUCCGGAAUUAUUGGGCGUAAAGGGCGCGUAGGCGGUCUUCUAAGUCUUGUGUGAAAUCCCUCGGCUCAACUGAGGAACUGCACGGGAUACUGGAAGACUUGAGUUCGGGAGAGGGAAGCGGAAUUCCGGGUGUAGCGGUGAAAUGCGUAGAUAUCCGGAGGAACACCGGUGGCGAAGGCGGCUUCCUGGACCGAUUACUGACGCUGAGGCGCGAAAGCUAGGGGAGCAAACGGG